rnacentral:rRNA from 1 species
CCUACGGGAGGCAGCAGUGAGGAAUAUUGGUCAAUGGGCGUAAGCCUGAACCAGCCAAGUCGCGUGAGGGAUGAAGGUUCUAUGGAUCGUAAACUUCUUUUAUAAGGGAAUAAAGUUCGGGAAGUGUACCGUUUUGUAUGUACCUUAUGAAUAAGGAUCGGCUAACUCCGUGCCAGCAGCCGCGGUAAUACGGAGGAUCCGAGCGUUAUCCGGAUUUAUUGGGUUUAAAGGGAGCGUAGGCGGCCGUUUAAGUCAGGGGUGAAAGUCUGUGGCUCAACCGUAGAAUUGCAGUUGAAACUGGGAGUCUUGAGUAUGUCUGAGGCAGGCGGAAUGCGUGGUGUAGCGGUGAAAUGCUUAGAUAUCACGCAGAACCCCGAUUGCGAAGGCAGCCUGCCAAGCCAUGACUGACGCUGAUGCCCGAAAGCGUGGGGAUCAAACAGGAUUAGAUACCCGGGUAGUC